UACGUAGGGGGCAAGCGUUGUCCGGAAUUAUUGGGCGUAAAGCGCGCGCAGGCGGUCGCAUAAGUCUGGUGUUUAAACCCGGGGCUCAACUCCGGGGCGCAUCGGAAACUGUGUGACUUGAGUGCAGAAGAGGAAAGUGGAAUUCCACGUGUAGCGGUGAAAUGCGUAGAUAUGUGGAGGAACACCAGUGGCGAAGGCGACUUUCUGGGCUGUAACUGACGCUGAGGCGCGAAAGCGUGGGGAGCAAACAGG
rnacentral:rRNA from 1 species